rnacentral:lncRNA from 1 species
CUCUAUUUCUCUCUCUCUCUCUCUAAAAUGCAUAAAUAAAUCUUAAAAAAAAUUUUUUUUUAAAAGAACAUAUGCAGGCUUUCUAUGAGAUACGUGGUCAAGGGAGUCACUUUGCAGAUACACUCUUUCCCAAAACUAAUGUGUUUAAGACUAUCUGAGGCCCAGGAGUCCCCUUUCACAUUUGCUCUUCUCUUCUUUAUGGAAAAAAAUGUCUUUAAUUAUGCAUCUUAUCUAUUAUGAAUCUUAUUAUGUGCAUGGCCCUGGUGUGUAAGAAAUUAGAUAAAGAACUAACUUGAAAUAUUGUAUAAGUUGAGAAAAUGAAUGAUUCAUUGGUGGGAAAUAUUUAUUAUUACAGCUCAGUUACACUCCAACUCUUUGCUUUUAAUUAAACUGAACAAGAACUAAUUGAGUUGUCAGCAGAUAGAUCAUUAAAAAUAAUUGUAAAUGAUCGACAUAAAAUAUUUAUACAAAUAAUUAUUUAUUGAAAUAUAAUUAAUAUACCAUGUGGUAUUAGUUUCAGGUAUACAACAUAUUGAUUCAAGAAUUCUAUGCAUUACCCAAUGUUCACCACAAUAAGUAUAGUCACCAUCUGUCACCAUACAUUAUUACAAUAUUAUUGAUUAUAUUCCCUAUGCUGUACUUUUCAUCUCUGUGACUUAUUUAUUUUAUAACUGGAAGUUUGUACUUCUUGAUUCCCUUUAUUUAUUUUACUCAGCCCCCCACCCUCUUGCCCCUGGCAACUACCAGUUUGUUCUCUGUAUUUAAGAAAGUUUUUGUUUGCUAUUAUUGUUUGAGAUUUACACAUAUAAGUGAAAUCAAAUGGUAUUUGUCUUUCUGACUGACCAUAAUACUCUCUAGGUCAAUCUACGCUGUUGCAAAUGACAAGAUCUCAUUCUUUUUGACAUGUAUUCCAUUGUGUAUAUCUAUUGAUAGACACUUGAUUAUUUCCAUAUAUUGGCUGUUGUAAAUAAUACAGUAAUAAGCAUAGAGAUGUAGGUCUCUUCAUGCACAUUAGUGUUUUUGUUUUCUUCAGAGAAAUACCCAAAAGUGGAAUUACUGGAUUAUAUGGUAUUUAUAUUUCUAAUAUUUUUAAGAAUCUCCAUAUGGCUACACCAAUUUGUAUCCCCACGAACAGAGCACAAAGGUUCCCCCUUUUCCCCAUAUCCUCACCAACACUUGUUAUUUCUUGUCUUUUUUUUUUAUUCUAGCCAUUCUCACUGGUGUGAGGUGAUAUCUCAUUGUGCUUUUGAUUUGCAAUUCUCCGAUGAUUAGUGAUGUUGGUCAUCUGUAUAUCUUCUUUGGGAAAAUGCAUAUUCAAGUCCUCUGCCCAUUUUUAAAAUUGAAUUAUAGGGCAUCCCCGGUGGCUCAGCGAUUUAGCGCCGCCUUCAGCCAGGGGCCUGAUCCUGGAGACUGGGGAUCGAGUCCCACAUCGGGCUCCAUGCAUGGAGCCUGCUUCUCCCUCUGCCUGUGUCUCUGC